rnacentral:lncRNA from 1 species
GUUAGGUACUGUGGUGUUGGGGUUAGGUACUGUGGUGUUGGGGUUAGGUACUGUGGUGUUGGAGUUAGGUACUGUGGUGUUGGGGUUAGGUACUGUGGUGUUGGGUUAGGUACUGUGGUGUUGGGGUUAGGUACUGUACUGUUGUGUUGGGGUUAGGUACUGUGGUGUUGGGGUUAGGUACUGUACUGUGGUGUUGGGGUUAGGUACUGUGGUGUUGGGGUUAGGUACUGUACUGUGGUGUUGGGGUUAGGUACUGUACUGUGGUGUUGGGGUUAGGUACUGUGGUGUUGUGGUUAGGUACUGUGGUGUUGGGGUUAGGUACUGUGGUGUUGGAGUUAGGUUCUGUGGUGUUGGGGUUAGGUACUGUACUGUGGUGUUGGAGUUAGGUACUGUACUGUGGUGUUGGGGUUAGGUACUGUGGUGUUGGGGUUAGGUACUGUGGUGUUGGAGUUAGGUACUGUGGUGUUGGGGUUAGGUACUGUGGUGUUGGGUUAGGUACUGUGGUGUUGGGGUUAGGUACUGUACUGUGGUGUUGGAGUUAGGUACUGUGGUGUUGGGGUUAGGUACUGUACUGUGGUGUUGGGGUUAGGUACUGUACUGUGGUGUUGGGGUUAGGUACUAUGGUGUUGGGGUUAGGUACUGUACUGUGGUGUUGGAGUUAGGUUCUGUGGUGUUGGGGUUAGGUACUGUACUGUGGUGUUGGGGUUAGGUACUGUACUGUGGUGUUGGGGUUAGGUACUGUUGUGUUGGGGUUAGGUACUGUGGUGUUGGGGUUAGGUACUGUGGUGUUGGGGUUAGGUACUGUUGUGUUGGGGUUAGGUACUGUGGUGUUGGGGUUAGGUACUGUUGUGUUGGGGUUAGGUACUGUGGUGUUGGGGUUAGGUACUGUACUGUGGUGUUGGGGUUAGGUACUGUGGUGUUGGGGUUAGGUACUGUGGUGU